GAAAGGCCCUUCGGGGUACUCGAGUGGCGAACGGGUGAGUAACACGUGGGUGAUCUGCCCUGCACUUUGGGAUAAGCCUGGGAAACUGGGUCUAAUACCGAAUAUGAUCAUCGGCUUCAUGGUCGGUGGUGGAAAGCUUUUGCGGUGUGGGAUGGGCCCGCGGCCUAUCAGCUUGUUGGUGGGGUAAUGGCCUACCAAGGCGACGACGGGUAGCCGGCCUGAGAGGGUGACCGGCCACACUGGGACUGAGAUACGGCCCAGACUCCUACGGGAGGCAGCAGUGGGGAAUAUUGCACAAUGGGCGCAAGCCUGAUGCAGCGACGCCGCGUGAGGGAUGACGGCCUUCGGGUUGUAAACCUCUUUCAGUAGGGACGAAGCGCAAGUGACGGUACCUAUAGAAGAAGGACCGGCCAACUACGUGCCAGCAGCCGCGGUAAUACGUAGGGUCCGAGCGUUGUCCGGAAUUACUGGGCGUAAAGAGCUCGUAGGUGGUUUGUCGCGUUGUUCGUGAAAACUCACAGCUCAACUGUGGGCGUGCGGGCGAUACGGGCAGACUAGAGUACUGCAGGGGAGACUGGAAUUCCUGGUGUAGCGGUGGAAUGCGCAGAUAUCAGGAGGAACACCGGUGGCGAAGGCGGGUCUCUGGGCAGUAACUGACGCUGAGGAGCGAAAGCGUGGGGAGCGAACAGGAUUAGAUACCCUGGUAGUCCACGCCGUAAACGGUGGGUACUAGGUGUGGGUUUCCUUCCUUGGGAUCCGUGCCGUAGCUAACGCAUUAAGUA
rnacentral:rRNA from 1 species